rnacentral:rRNA from 1 species
AGAGUUUGAUCAUGGCUCAGAUUGAACGCUGGCGGCAGGCCUAACACAUGCAAGUCGAGCGGUAGCACAGAGAGCUUGCUCUCGGGUGACGAGCGGCGGACGGGUGAGUAAUGUCUGGGAAACUGCCUGAUGGAGAGGGAUAACUACUGGAAACGGUAGCUAAUACCGCAUAACGUCGCAAGACCAAAGUGGGGGACCUUCGGGCCUCAUGCCAUCAGAUGUGCCCAGAUGGGAUUAGCUAGUAGGUGAGGUAACGGCUCACCUAGGCGACGAUCCCUAGCUGGUCUGAGAGGAUGACCAGCCACACUGGAACUGAGACACGGUCCAGACUCCUACGGGAGGCAGCAGUGGGGAAUAUUGCACAAUGGGCGCAAGCCUGAUGCAGCCAUGCCGCGUGUGUGAAGAAGGCCUUCGGGUUGUAAAGCACUUUCAGCGGGGAGGAAGGCGUUAAGGUUAAUAACCUUGGCGAUUGACGUUACCCGCAGAAGAAGCACCGGCUAACUCCGUGCCAGCAGCCGCGGUAAUACGGAGGGUGCAAGCGUUAAUCGGAAUUACUGGGCGUAAAGCGCACGCAGGCGGUCUGUCAAGUCGGAUGUGAAAUCCCCGGGCUUAACCUGGGAACUGCAUUCGAAACUGGCAGGCUAGAGUCUUGUAGAGGGGGGUAGAAUUCCAGGUGUAGCGGUGAAAUGCGUAGAGAUCUGGAGGAAUACCGGUGGCGAAGGCGGCCCCCUGGACAAAGACUGACGCUCAGGUGCGAAAGCGUGGGGAGCAAACAGGAUUAGAUACCCUGGUAGUCCACGCCGUAAACGAUGUCGAUUUGGAGGUUGUGCCCUUGAGGCGUGGCUUCCGGAGCUAACGCGUUAAAUCGACCGCCUGGGGAGUACGGCCGCAAGGUUAAAACUCAAAUGAAUUGACGGGGGCCCGCACAAGCGGUGGAGCAUGUGGUUUAAUUCGAUGCAACGCGAAGAACCUUACCUGGUCUUGACAUCCACAGAACUUAGCAGAGAUGCUUUGGUGCCUUCGGGAACUGUGAGACAGGUGCUGCAUGGCUGUCGUCAGCUCGUGUUGUGAAAUGUUGGGUUAAGUCCCGCAACGAGCGCAACCCUUAUCCUUUGUUGCCAGCGGUCCGGCCGGGAACUCAAAGGAGACUGCCAGUGAUAAACUGGAGGAAGGUGGGGAUGACGUCAAGUCAUCAUGGCCCUUACGACCAGGGCUACACACGUGCUACAAUGGCAUAUACAAAGAGAAGCGACCUCGCGAGAGCAAGCGGACCUCAUAAAGUAUGUCGUAGUCCGGAUUGGAGUCUGCAACUCGACUCCAUGAAGUCGGAAUCGCUAGUAAUCGUAGAUCAGAAUGCUACGGUGAAUACGUUCCCGGGCCUUGUACACACCGCCCGUCACACCAUGGGAGUGGGUUGCAAAAGAAGUAGGUAGCUUAACCUUCGGGAGGGCGCUUACCACUUUGUGAUUCAUGACUGGGGUGAAGUCGUAACAAGGUAACCGUAGGGGAACCUGCGGUUGGAUCACCU